rnacentral:misc_RNA from 1 species
GUUUGCUGCUGGAGCCGCGGCGUUCUCCUCGGGCCCGGGCCGCGCCCGUGGGUGCUCCGGACCGGACUCCGCGGGCGCAGCUGUCCCGACGCUGAGCUGGGGACCCGUGGGGUUCUCGGAGAGGGGCAGAGACCCAAGGUCACAGAGGCGACGUUGUGGACGUUUACCAGCGGGAGUUCCUGGCGCUGCGCGAUCGGUUGCACGCAGCUGAGCAGGAGAGCCUCAAGCGCUCCAAGGAGCUCAACCUGGUGCUGGACGAGAUCAAGAGGGCCGUGUCAGAAAGGCAGGCGCUGCGAGACGGAGACGGCAAUCGCACCUGGGGCCGCCUAACAGUCCCGAUCCUUCCCGACCCACCCAGAGGACCCCCGAUUGAAGCCGUGGAACGGCUCACACCGGCACGUGCUGCACCUGCCCACCGUCUUCCAUCACCUGCCACACCUGCUGGCCAAGGAGAGCAGUCUGCAGCCCGCGGUGCGCGUGGGCCAGGGCCGCACCGGAGUGUCGGUGGUGAUGGGCAUCCCGAGCGUGCGGCGCGAGGUGCACUCGUACCUGACUGACACUCUGCACUCGCUCAUCUCCGAGCUGAGCCCGC